AGAAGCUCAAAGCCUUUAGAAGCUCAGGGCCUCUGUUUUAACUCUGGUGGAACAAAGGACAAAAGUAGGGUCUAUAUUGCACCAUCAACUGUUCACUUCCUGAAACAGCUCCUGGCAAGGCUAUUGCUAACCUCCGUGUUGCUAAAUCCACGGAUCAUUUCUCAAGUCCUCAUCUGCCUGGGACCACUGGGGCAUUUGGCACAGAUGGACACUCUUUCCUCCUAGAAAAAGAUUCUUGUCUUCUAGGACCACCUGCUCUCUCUUUCUCCGGUUUUCCACUCUGCUUCACUGGUUCCUUCUUCUCCCUCUCCUUUGCUGGUACCUCUUUUUCUCUCUGACCUCUCUAUGCUGGAGACCCCAGUGCUCAGGCUUUGACCCUCUUCUCCAUCUUUACUCACUUGGCGAUUCCACCCACUUUCAUUAAUUUAAAUACCAUUUAUAUCAUGCUGAUGACUACCAGAUUUUUAUUUCCAGACCAUACCUGUCAUCUGCUCUCAUACAGAACUACCUACUCCAUCCCCACAUGGAACUCUCAUAAACUUGUCACUCUCUCCAGGUCCAAGACUGAACUCCAUUUUUUUCCCUGCAAACCUGCUCUACCUGCAUGUUCAGGUUAGUGGAAACUCCAACUUUCCAGUGCCCUCAGCCCCAAACUUUAUUCCCCCUUCACUUCUCCUUCUCUCACAAUCCCCACCAUUCUGUCAAAGAAUCCUUCUGCUCUACCUCUGAAAUGUACCCAGAAGCUAACCGCCAUGCACCUCCUCCACGGCUGCCGUCCGGGUGGGGGCUGUGGUCCUCCCUUGCCUGGGUUACUGCAACAGGCUCCUAACUGGUCCUCCUGCUGCUACCCUCUGCCUCUGUCUUCCCAUGGCCUAUCCCUCUGUGUCUAUCUUCUCCUUUGCCCUCCCUCAUCAGCACACCCAUCACUGGGUUUAGGGCCUACCCUCAUCAGGAUGAUCUCACCUUGCCAGUGUCAUUUUCAUUACAUCUGCAAAGACUCUUACUCCAAAUACAGUUGCAUUCUAAGGCUCUGGGGGCACAGCUCUUUUGGGGGUCAGCAUUCACCCCACUAUGCUGCCCCACAGACUAGUCUCAAUACAGUAGCCCCAGUGAGCCUUUAAGAAAUUAAGUUAAAUUAUGAUACUCUGUGCUCAAAACCCUCUAAAGGCUCCCAUCUCACUUAGAGAAAAACCAAAGUCCUUCUGCCGGCCUAAAAGGCCCUGUGUGAUCUGGCUCUUAAACCUCUCUGUCCUCACCUCCCACUGUCCAGUCAUAACAGUGGCCCAGACUAGCGGAUGUGGAUUUGAGACAUGUUUUGACUUAGCAUCAAGAUCACCUGGUUACUGACAACACCCAGGAGGUAACACCUGACGAGGAACAAGUUGGGGAGGUGGAAAAGGUGGACGAAGGACUGAGCAACAAGGGCACGGAAGGUAUCUGUAAGAGAGUAACUGAAACAAAGGACUGGAAAUCUAAGCACUGGAUGGAGGCAAGUAAGACAAGAAGGGAAGGAAUUAAUGGACUGGAAAGGGGAACAAAGAACACCUGCAGCUGAGUACCCAGAACUUUAAGGUCACCUAAAAGUGGUCGAAACACUACAUACUAAGUCCAUGAAAGCUAAGAGCCCAGUGUAUUUAACACAAGAAGCAAAGGAGUUUUAGAUACAACCCCUCUACUACCAGGGUACCAAGUGCCACCCUACUUGCUAUCAAAGAGAACCAGAGGGACCUUUACAUUGAAAAGGUAAGAAGGAGGUACUGAAAUUCAAGGAAUAUCAUUCCAAAUCUGGAUUUCCUGCCACUAAAUCACUUCCAAGUGAUGUGCUUGAUUUUAUUGAUUUUGCUAUAACUGAUUCUAUGUAAGUGUCCUAUACACAAGUUUACCUGAUUCUUUAUCAUCUAAACCUACCCUCUGGUGUGGUGGUUCUCAACAGAUUUUGCCCCCUAAGGGAGAACUGGCAAUGUCUGUAGAUACUUUUGGCCAUCACAACUGGGAGGAAGGGUGCACGAGCAUCUGGUGGGUAGAGGCCGGAUGCUAUUCAACAUCCCACAAUGCACAGGACAGCUCCACCCCAACAAGGAAUUAUUCAGCCCCAAAUGUCAAUAGUGCUCAGGUUGAAAAACCCUGCUCCAGAACAAACAUGCCUGCAAAUGUACACUAUUUACAUCAGAGAGAGGAGGGCUCAACUUGGGAUCCAAGUAACAAACUGUCUUCAAAUUUUCUGUACCACAAAUAUACCAACAGCCUAAAUAAAACUACCUUAGUUUUUAGAAAAACAUCAAUAUAUUAGUGCACAAAACCUUGUAGACUUAGAUAUGUAAGAAAGCAUAUGGAUGCCCUCGAUGACUUCUUCCUACCUCCUUCCUUCCUUGCCUGGUUUUUCCCAUUCUCCUGUUUAUUUCUCUCCAGAAGGAGCUCUGUUCUUCACCAAUUCCUGCAUACUGGAAUAUUAAGUUCCAAAGAUAAAUUAACUUUGAUAAAAUUCCUUUAUCAGAAGUAAAUGUGAAAGUCUGAAGAAUUUAGUGAGCUGGCCUUUUGCCCAUAUACAGAAAUGAUUAAAGACUAGACUGCGAUUAAAUUCUGAGCAGAGUGACAUAAUUAGCAAAUUUAUGAAUGGGUCUUCUUUUCACAGUUCUACUGUCAGGACUAAUUACUUGUAUUAAUUAGAACUGUCAACACAUGAAUAUGCUUGUUGAAGCCACUUCCUAUGGUAAAGUACGAGACUGGUAAAUAUGAAGACACUUGGAAAGAUGCAAAGACCUUCAUUUAUUAGCAACUCUAAAUGAUGCAGAAGCACUGACUGCACAAUGAGCCCUGGGGAUUGACUGUAAAUGGAUUCCUAGUUAAUGAAUUUGUUCUCCCUUGCUUAGGCGUUAUUCUUGGUUUAGCGUUUGGACGAAAUACUCAAUGUAUCACUACUUCAGAAGGACUGUAGCAAGAAUAAGGAAAAAAUUCUGCAAGUUACUGGAAAAGUAGAGUAGCAGGGAUGGUUAAGUUGAGCAAGAGAGAGGUCCUGUCUCAUCUUUGAUUAGUCUGAGAUCUAGUGUAAAACAAGUUUUGAGAACUGCUUAAGUGAAACGGGAAGGACAGCUGGGGGAUUAAAAACUAGAGUUUGAGACCCAGUUUUAACUCUGUGUGACCUUGGGUAAGUGGACAAGUUACUAAGCCUCUCUGUGCCUUGGUUUGCUCAUCUGAAAAAUGGGGACAGCAACAGAACUUGUAGAGGGCUGUGGUGAGCCUUAAAUGUCAACAUAUAUAAAGGGCUUAGAGCGGUGCCCAGCACAAGCUACGUGCUGGCUGUUACUGUUUUCAUAGUCAUCACCUGGGAUGGCAGCAGAAACGGAAUUUCGAGCUCCAAGAACGAGAUCCUUGGAGCAGGACGCAGUGCUUUGGAGUCAGAUAGAGUCGAGAGACACACAUUUCUGACAGUGUGGAGAUGGCCCGACUCAUGGAGGCUGCAGGGAGCAUUUGGGGAAUGAAUGAGAAGCAUCUCCUAGGGUCCCUCCCAAUUCCAAAAGCUAAUGCUUCUGCAUGCAGCAAGAUGUCGAUGCUAAACUCGAUUUCAAUUAAAAACCCAUUUCUGUACAAAUGUUAUAAAACUAGACUAAUAAAAUGUAAGUUGAUGACUCCUAAUUUUGUCUUAAAAAUUAUGUGAUACCUUAAAGAUCAAUCUGGCCAAAACUCCAUAGCAUCAAAUAAUCAGUGCAUAAAAAGAAAACCUAGUUGUAGGAUGUUCUGGAUCCAUUCACAAGAAAGCUCGGUUAAAUGCAAGACACUGGUAAAUCUGCUAGAGUUCCCAAUGUCAUGUUAGACAGCAAGCUGCUCCCAGCUGCUCCCUGGAACCCCUUAAAACUUAAAGGGUAGAGCUUCCCCCCUCUACUCUAGUUGCUCACUAGAUAGUUCUCGAAGCAAAUGCAGGUACCAGAGGAUCUUCCUGACAGGU